CCAACCACUAUCGGGGCUCUCUAAUGCAGCCUUGAUGCCGUUGUGUCUGUCAGAGAUCACGAGAAUACCUUGCUGUGGAGUGACAUGCCUUCUAAGGUUCGAUAGAAAGUACGACCAAGAAUCUGCGUUCUCUCCCUCCACGAGUGCAAACCCAACAGGCAAAAUGUUUGAGUUACCAUCCUGUGCGAUCGCCAACAACAACGUCCCGCCAUAUUUGCCAUACAGGUGUGUGCCGUCGAUGCUU
rnacentral:lncRNA from 1 species